rnacentral:rRNA from 1 species
UACGUAGGUGACCAGCGUUGUCCGGAUUUACUGGGCGUAAAGAGCGCGCAGGCGGUCGUUCAAGUCGAGUGUGAAAGCCCCCGGCUCAACUGGGGAGGGUCAUUCGAUACUGAUCGACUGGAAGGCAGGAGAGGGAAGCGGAAUUCCCGGUGUAGCGGUGGAAUGCGCAGAUAUCAGGAGGAACACCAAUAGCGAAGGCAGCUCGCUGGGACGGUACUGACGCUAAGGCGCGAAAGCGUGGGGAGCGAACAGG